rnacentral:rRNA from 1 species
GGCCGCGGUAUUCUAACCGUGCAAAGGUAGCGUAAUCACUUGUUUUUUAAAUAAAGACCAGUAUGAAAGGCACCACGAGGAUCAAACUGUCUCCUUUUUCCAAUCAGUGAACCUAACCUCCCCGUGAAGAGGCGGGGAUAAGACUAUAAGACGAGAAGACCCUGUGGAGCUUAAAACAUUUAACACCUGGCACCCUGAUUAUGUGUUUUUGGUUGGGGUGACCGCGGAGAAAAACUCAUCCUCCAUAAUGAAUUAGCAAUAAACUACAACUUUAUGCAUCAAAAAAUUGACAUCAUCGACCCAAUAAAUUGAUCAAUGAACCAAGUUACCCCAGGGAUAACAGCACAAUCCACUUUAAAAGCUCCUAUCGACAAGUGGGCUUAUGACCUCGAUGUUGGAUCGGGGUAUCCCAGUGGUGCAACCGCUACUAAAGGUUCGUUUGUUCAACGAUUAAAACCCCACGUGAU